UACGUAGGGGGCAAGCGUUGUCCGGAAUCAUUGGGCGUAAAGCGCGUGUAGGCGGCCCGGUAAGUCCGCUGUGAAAGUCCAGGGCUCAACCCUGGGAUGCCGGUGGAUACUGUCGGGCUCGAGUCCGGAAGAGGAGUGCGGAAUUCCUGGUGUAGCGGUGAAAUGCGCAGAUAUCAGGAGGAACACCGGUGGCGAAGGCGGGUCUCUGGGCCGAUACUGACGCUGAGGAGCGAAAGCGUGGGGAGCGAACAGG
rnacentral:rRNA from 1 species